UCUGCCUGAUAUUUCUCUCUCAGUCUCAGCAGGGGAGCAGGGAAAAUCUCAAGCCAGCUACACAAAGAGAAAACAGGGGGCCCCAUUACUCACCAGGACAGGUCAGUUCAUUACCAACACUGACUCCUGAAGAUUACCAUGGGUAGUUUCGGUUUUGAAUGCUCCAUGACAGAGGAUAUAAAGAAAGGUUGAAAAUGGCCUGUCAAAAACACCCAAGAAGAGCAAUAAAUUGGAAAAGAAGCCAAAAAAGAACAAAUUCAGCACCCGGGUUAAGAGACCUCCGCCGCCGCCUAACUGUGUGCCGUUGUGUGGCAGCUGCAAGACGCCGAACGCGGU